rnacentral:snoRNA from 1 species
AAACCAUGCAUUGGGCAUUUUCUCAGUAGCUCCUUGAACUGCUCUCAUGCUUCAUAUAAUGUUUCAUCCUCUGAUUUUCUAAACGAUAUAAUAUUUUUCCUCAAGUU